rnacentral:rRNA from 1 species
CUACGGGGCGCUGCAGUGAGGAAUAUUGCACAAUGGGGGGAACCCUGAUGCAGCAACGCCGCGUGGAGGAUGACGCAUUUCGGUGUGUAAACUCCUUUUAUAUGUCAAGAAAAUGACGGUAGCAUAUGAAUAAGCGCCGGCUAACUCCGUGCCAGCAGCCGCGGUAACACGGAGGGCGCAAGCGUUACUCGGAAUCACUGGGCGUAAAGGACGCGUAGGCGGGUUGAAAAGUCAGGUGUGAAAGCCUACAGCUUAACUGUAGAACUGCACUUGAAACUCUCAACCUAGAGUAUGGGAGGGGCAGAUGGAAUUAGUGGUGUAGGGGUAAAAUCCGUAGAUAUCACUAGGAAUACCUUAAGCGAAGGCGAUCUGCUGGAACAUUACUGACGCUAAGGCGUGAAAGCGUGGGGAGCAAACAGGAUUAGAUACCCUAGUAGUC